rnacentral:rRNA from 1 species
GCUGGCGGCGUGCCUAACACAUGCAAGUCGAACGAGAAAGGGUAGCAAUACCUGAGUACAGUGGCGCACGGGUGAGUAACACGUGACUAACCUACCCUGGAGUGGGGAAUAACUGAGGGAAACCUUAGCUAAUACCGCAUAACACCUACGGGUCAAAGGAGCAAUUCGCUUCAGGAGGGGGUCGCGGCCGAUUAGUUAGUUGGCGGGGUAAUGGCCCACCAAGACAGUGAUCGGUAUCCGGCCUGAGAGGGCGCACGGACACACUGGAACUGAAACACGGUCCAGACUCCUACGGGAGGCAGCAGUGGGGAAUUUUGCGCAAUGGGGGAAACCCUGACGCAGCAACGCCGCGUGGAGGAUGAAAUCCCUUGGGAUGUAAACUCCUUUCGAUCGGGACGAUUAUGACGGUACCGGAAGAAGAAGCCCCGGCUAACUUCGUGCCAGCAGCCGCGGUAAUACGAGGGGGGCAAGCGUUGUUCGGAAUUAUUGGGCGUAAAGGGAGCGUAGGCGGUUUUGUAAGUCGUGUGUGAAAUCUUCAGGCUCAACCUGAAGUCUGCACACGAAACUGC